rnacentral:rRNA from 1 species
UACGUAGGGUGCGAGCGUUGUCCGGAAUUCUUGGGCGUAAAGGGCUCGUAGGCGGUUUGUCGCGUCGGGAGUGAAAUCCACUGGCUUAACUGGUGGCUUGCUUUCGAUACGGGCAGACUGGAGGUAUGCAGAGGAGCAUGGAAUUCCUGGUGUAGCGGUGAAAUGCGUAGAGAUCAGGAGGAAUACCGAUGGCGAAGGCAGUGCUCUGGGCUAACAUUGACGCUGAUGAGCGAAAGCUAGGGGAGCAAACGGG